CAGCAGCCACGGUAAUACGGAGGGCGCGAGCGUUACCCGGAUUUACUGGGCGUAAAGGGCGUGUAGGCGGCCUGGGGCGUCCCAUGUGAAAGGCCACGGCUCAACCGUGGAGGAGUGUGGGAUACGCUCAGGCUAGAGGGUGGGAGGGGGUGGUGGAAUUCCCGGAGUAGCGGUGAAAUGCGCAGAUACCGGGAGGAACGCCGAUGGCGAAGGCAGCCACCUGGUCCACUUCUGACGCUGAGGCGCGAAAGCGUGGGGAGCAAACCGGAUUAGAUACCCGCGUAGUCCCUGUCUCUUAUCA
rnacentral:rRNA from 1 species